CCUACGGGAGGCUGCAGUGAGGAAUAUUGGUCAAUGGACGAGAGUCUGAACCAGCCAAGUAGCGUGAAGGAUGAAUGUCCUAAGGGUUGUAAACUUCUUUUAUAUGGGAAUAAAAUGUUCCACGUGUGGGAUUUUGUAUGUACCAUAUGAAUAAGGAUCGGCUAACUCCGUGCCAGCAGCCGCGGUAAUACGGAGGAUGCGAGCGUUAUCCGGAUUUAUUGGGUUUAAAGGGUGCGUAGGUGGAUUGUUAAGGCAGUGGUGAAAGUUUGCGGCUCAACCGUGAAAUUGCAGUUGAAACGGGCAGUCUUGAGUACAGUAGAGGUGUGCGGAAUGCGCGGUGUAGCGGUGAAAUGCUUAGAUAUCACGAAGAACUCCGAUUGCGAAGGCAGUUCACUGGACUGCAACUGACACUGAGGCUCGAAAGUGUGGGUAUCAAACAGGAUUAGAUACCCUGGUAGUC
rnacentral:rRNA from 1 species